rnacentral:rRNA from 1 species
AUUGAACGCUGGCGGCGUGCUUAACACAUGCAAGUCGAUCGGUAACGCGGGGGCAACCCUGGCGACGAGAGGCGGACGGGUGAGGAACGCUUGGGAAUCUGCCCUUCAGCGGGGGACACCCCGGGGAAACCCGGGCUAAUACCGCAUACGCUCCACGGAGGAAAGCCGGGGACCGCAAGGCCUGGCACUGAAGGAUGAGCACAAGUCGGAUUAGCUAGUUGGCGGGGUAACGGCCCACCAAGGCGACGAUCCGUAGCUGGUCUGAGAGGACGAUCAGCCACACUGGGACUGAGACACGGCCCAGACUCCUACGGGAGGCAGCAGUGGGGAAUAUUGGACAAUGGGGGAAACCCUGAUCCAGCGACGCCGCGUGGGUGAAGAAGGCCUGCGGGUUGUAAAGCCCUUUCGGUAGGGACGAAAGCUCUCGACCUAACACGUCGGGAGGAUGACUUAACCUACAAAAGAAGCACCGGCUAACUCUGUGCCAGCUGCCGCAGUAAUAC